AUAAGAAAAAUGGAACCACCUGCGACACAGUCCAUAGACUUCCACCAAGAGUUUCCAGGUUGAAGAAGAUGAACAAGACAAAGUUGUUGAUGAAUGUUGUUCUUGCUGUUAUGACUGCACUGAGAGCAUCUUUGAUUACUUGCGCUGUUACAGUCUCUGCUAGAAAUAUAAUUUCAGAAAUCAUAUAGGACACAUUCUUCCUUUACGAAGGAUCUAAUUUUCUGUUUCA